rnacentral:rRNA from 1 species
CAAUAGCGUAUACUAAUGUUGUUGCAGUUAAAAAGCUCGUAGUUGAACUUCUGGUAGGAGUGUCCCGGCCUUUUUGUUUUUACAAAUUGUAUGCUGUGUGACAUCUCUGGCCAUCCUUCUUCUUUGUUUAAAGAAGAUCUUUCACUGUAAAGAAAUUAGGGUGUUCAAAGCAAAAGUUUCUUUGGAAUAUAUUAGUAUGGGAUGAUAAGAUAGGCUCUAGAUGCUAUUUUGUUGGUUUGCACAUUUAGAGAAUGAUUAACAGGGACAGUUGGGGGUAUUCGUAUUUACAUGUCAGAGGUGAAAUUCUUGGAUUUUGGAAAGACGAACUACUGCGAAAGCAUUUACCAAGGAUGUUUUCAUUAA